UGACCACCUGUUAUUUCGCACGAUUUCCAAUGUAGAAUUCACAAAAACGUGAAUCAUUACAACUACCAAGUUUCAAAUAAAACAACUAGUGUCUCUGUAUCAAAAUUUUUUUCAAAACGCCCAUUUUUCAAAACCAGAAGUGCGGUAAAUUUCUGAAUUUUUGGAUAUUUAUACAUAAUGAUAAACAGAACCUCGUGUGGUUUGAAAUGCAUGUUUCGUGGAAAGUAAUGAAUGCAGAGAUGUUCAUAUCGGUAAAUGCAGCUCACGAAAAUGGAAACCAUGCUUUUGUUCCCGAAAUGCAUGCAUGUUUUCCCAGCGACGUAAGAAUUAAAAUACUAUAUUUGCUACCUUCAGAUUAAUA